rnacentral:rRNA from 1 species
UCCUACGGGAGGCAGCAGUAGGGAAUCUUCCGCAAUGGACGAAAGUCUGACGGAGCAACGCCGCGUGAGUGAUGAAGGCUUUCGGGUCGUAAAACUCUGUUGUUAGGGAAGAACAAGUGCUAGUUGAAUAAGCUGGCACCUUGACGGUACCUAACCAGAAAGCCACGGCUAACUACGUGCCAGCAGCCGCGGUAAUACGUAGGUGGCAAGCGUUAUCCGGAAUUAUUGGGCGUAAAGCGCGCGCAGGUGGUUUCUUAAGUCUGAUGUGAAAGCCCACGGCUCAACCGUGGAGGGUCAUUGGAAACUGGGAGACUUGAGUGCAGAAGAGGAAAGUGGAAUUCCAUGUGUAGCGGUGAAAUGCGUAGAGAUAUGGAGGAACACCAGUGGCGAAGGCGACUUUCUGGUCUGUAACUGACACUGAGGCGCGAAAGCGUGGGGAGCAGACAGGAUUAGAUACCCUGGUAGUCCACGCCGUAAACGAUGAGUGCUAAGUGUUAGAGGGUUUCCGCCCUUUAGUGCUGAAGUUAACGCAUUAAGCACUCCGCCUGGGGAGUACGGCCGCAAGGCUGAAACUCAAAGGAAUUGACGGA